AUUGAACGCUGGCGGCAGGCCUAACACAUGCAAGUCGAACGGUAACAGGAAGAAGCUUGCUUCUUUGCUGACGAGUGGCGGACGGGUGAGUAAUGUCUGGGAAACUGCCUGAUGGAGGGGGAUAACUACUGGAAACGGUAGCUAAUACCGCAUAACGUCGCAAGACCAAAGAGGGGGACCUUCGGGCCUCUUGCCAUCGGAUGUGCCCAGAUGGGAUUAGCUAGUAGGUGGGGUAACGGCUCACCUAGGCGACGAUCCCUAGCUGGUCUGAGAGGAUGACCGGCCACACUGGAACUGGACCACGGUCCAGACUCCUACGGGAGGCAGCAGUGGGGAAUAUUGCACAAUGGGCGCAAGCCUGAUGCAGCCAUGCCGCGUGUAUGAAGAAGGCCUUCGGGUUGUAAAGUACUUGCAGCGGGGAGGAAGGGAGUAAAGUUAAUACCUUUCCUCAUUGACGUUACCCGCAGAAGAAGCACCGGCUAACUCCGUG
rnacentral:rRNA from 1 species